rnacentral:rRNA from 1 species
GACGAACGCUGGCGGCGUGCUUAACACAUGCAAGUCGAACGGAAAGGCCCUGCUUUUGUGGGGUGCUCGAGUGGCGAACGGGUGAGUAACACGUGAGUAACCUGCCCUUGACUUUGGGAUAACUUCAAGAAACUGGGGCUAAUACCGGAUAGGAGCUCCUGCUGCAUGGUGGGGGUUGGAAAGUUUCGGCGGUUGGGGAUGGACUCGCGGCUUAUCAGCUUGUUGGUGGGGUAGUGGCUUACCAAGGCUUUGACGGGUAGCCGGCCUGAGAGGGUGACCGGCCACAUUGGGACUGAGAUACGGCCCAGACUCCUACGGGAGGCAGCAGUGGGGAAUAUUGCACAAUGGGCGGAAGCCUAAUGCAGCAACGCCGCGUGCGGGAUGACGGCCUUCGGGUUGUAAACCGCUUUCGCCUGUGACGAAGCGUGAGUGACGGUAAUGGGUAAAGAAGCACCGGCUAACUACGUG